rnacentral:rRNA from 1 species
GAUGAACGCUGGCGGCGUGCCUAAUACAUGCAAGUCGAGCGAACAGACGAGGCGAUUGCUCCUCGGUCGUUAGCGGCGGACGGGUGAGUAACACGUGGAUAACCUACCUAUAAAAAUGGGAUAACUUCGAGAAACCUGAGCUAAUAGCGGAUAACGUUUUCAACCGCUGGGGUUAGGAGUGAUAGCCCGUCUUGCGGUCCCAUAUCGAUGGAUCCGCGCCGCAUUCGCUAGUUGGUAAGGUAACGGCUUACCAAGGCAACGAUGCGUAGCCGACGUGAGAGGGUGCCAGGCCCCAUGGGCACGGGGCAAAGCUCCAGACUACUACGGGAGGCAGCAGCAGGGAAUCGUGCGCAGUGGGCGCAGGCCUGACGCAGCAACGCGGAGUGAGUGAAGAAGGUCUCCGGAUCGCAAAACACUGUCAGUAGGGCAGAACAAAUGUCUACGUACCUAUGCCCGUCUUGACGGUCCCUAGGCAGAAAGCCGCGGAUAACCACGUG